rnacentral:lncRNA from 1 species
GUGGAUCUGAAGAAACUGUGACCUCUCUUCCCAGAACAAGAUGCGCCUAUACACGCACAGGAUGUGCCCUCGUGGGGGCACCCGUUUUCCCAGGAUUAUGCAGAUGAUCAUAAAGUAGCCCCCCAACCCCGCAAGCUAGGUCACAGGUUGUGGAUUUGGAACUCACCCCCUUGGUUUACUCCAAGAAGAAAUCUAAUGUCAAAGCAGCUUUGAUGAGUGGGCUGUGGCAGGUGGCUCAGUGGUAGAGCGCUUGCCCAGCAUGUGCGAGGCCCUGGGUUCCAACCCCAGCACCGCCAAAAAAAAGCUUUGGUGGCACAUACAGAUUCAGGUACAGAUACGAGUCAGUUGCAGAGUAAGGAGUCCAACUCUCUCACAGGUCUUCCUGAAAUGAGCCAAGGGCCUCAUCAAGGUGAAUGUCCCCACUGAUUCAAAAAUAUAAAAGGAGAUGGCAAGAGAAAGCUUUUGGAGACCACUGUUGUUCUUGAACACACCAAAUUUAGGUAGACCUGCUAAAGAGAGAGGCCAUCAAGCAACAUGACCUUGAAAAAUGCAAAACUCAUUGCCCCAAAGUGAAACAACUCGGACCAAUGGCAGUUUCUGGAAAUAACUGUCCCACACUGCAUUAUGGGUACCCAGCGCUGCUCUAUGCCAUGGAUGUCCUAAGCACUCUGUGAAGGCCAGGCCAGCAUGAUUGUUCCCACAUAGAGGUUGCAACUAUACAGGAAGGUCCAAAGAGACAAAGUAAUGCCCAAAGGGAUGCGAAGGCUAGGAGGAGAAGUUGGGGGUCAGCUGCUUGCCAGCCCAAUGUUCAUAGGAACUGCAGGGGGCUCAGACACCAUCAUGGGGUAAUCAACUAGCAAGUCAUGGAAAAGCUGCGCUCGAGUUUCGUAACCCGGAUGGAUGUCUAAAGGUCUACCCACAAUGCUUUGGCAGCCCUGGUGUUGAAUUCUCUCUUCCAAAAUAAGUGCUUGACACCCUCGCCUUGAAAGAUAUGCUACUGUCCCCAAGAUCCUCUCCUCCUCCCCCGACCGACUAGUCAGUGGUUGCUAGAGUUAGAAGGGACACCAGAAAAAGACGACAGAGAAAGCCAGAAAAGACGAGGGAAUGUUGUAUAAAAGAGAAGAUCCAUCCUAAUGCAGGUAAGAAAGUCACUGGACUCCCGGAGCAGAAGACUGGGGGGCAGGACCCCCUAACGCCACCAAGGCCCAGUCCUUCCAGCUGCCUGGCCAUCUAGCACCCAACCCUAAGCCAACAUCACACAUUUCAGGGUCGUGGUUACAGCCGAAUCCCACUUCUGGUACCCAUGUUUGGGUAGGCCAGGUUAUCCUGAGGUAGCAAGCAACUUCCCAAAUCCAACUCUCCAAUCACCAAAAUCUGGAUCAUUCUGUGGGGUCUUGUCAUGUGAAGGAGAGCUAGACCAGACUUUGUCCCAUGUGGGGGCAGUAAGCAGCUGAGUCUGCUUCUGUUACUAUUACAAACUGCCUUAGACUUUGUAAUUUAUAAACCACAGAAAGUUAUAGCUCAUCGUUCUGGAGGCUGGGAAGUCCAAGGUCAAGGCACUAGCAGACUUGGUGUCUGGUGAGGGCCACUCUCUGCUUCAUAGAUGCCCUGUUGCUGUGUCUUUGCAUCACAGAAGGGGCAAACAGCCUCUUUUGGGCCCCUCUGGUAAGGACGCC